UGGAACACCCUACUGGGCAGUACCAAUACAUCGACCAAGACGCACGCCGACGGUACAUCUACGUCGACGGCUACGCAUAGCAACAGUGGCAGACCCGGGGCGACAUAGCAACGGCCAUGGCCAAACCAACGGAUGCACCGAAACUGCAGAUCCAGCACGACGACCGACCAACUCAACGUGGACGACCAAAGGUAGACAACGCAUCGAACGAUAUUGGUUUUGCUGAGUGAGCUAGGUUAUAGUUAGUUAGAAUUAAUAAAAGGCCUUGUCAAUUGUAAAUCGAACUCAGUCUGAAGUGAAGAGUCAUAAUAUAGUGAACAAAGUGUAAUAAAGUUAUUUUUUUUAUAAUACCGCGAGAUAUCACGGCAUAAUUGGCGCAGUCAAAGUAGCAAAGUGGUUAAACUGUGUGUGAAGAGUUAGCGGAGCGGAUAUCAGCUUUCAAUUCAUCAAGUUUACAAAGAGGAGAAACCCUACGUCCAACGGAGGACACCUGUUAACCCGGCGGAAGCUGUCUUGAAGAGCAUAUUCAGGAUUUGUGGUUACUAGGAGGACGAACCCACCACUUGCAACCUACCCCCAGCAAACCUUCGGACUCCCUGAUGGAAAUAUUCAUCUUAUUUUCAUUUCAGAGAUACUUUUAGAGGAUGUAAGAGUGGAAAAGGAACAAGAUGAUCUGGUAAAAGCUACCCAUGAAUAUGCUCAUCGUGGUAUAAAAGAAAACAAGGCACAAAUCCUUACAAGGUAUUAUUUCCCACAACUGGAUCGAAAGGUAAGAACUCUGGUCGAAAGCUGUGAGACCUGUAAAAAGAGUAAAUACGACAGGAAGCCACCACAGCUAAUUCGAAAAAGUAUCCAAGGUGAGAAACCGUUCGAACGGGUUCACAUCGAUGUGUUCUUUAUGAAAGGACUUAAAUGGAUGACGAUAGUCGACUCUUUUUCCAAAUUUGCUAACAUAAUCCCCUUGGAAACGAGAACAAUAGUGGACAUGAAGAGGGCAGUUAGCGAACACAUAAGAAUUUUCGGAAGACCUCAGACGAUUAUCUGUGACCAAGAACCUUCAUUCACUUCUAUAGACUUUCAAGGAUUUUUGAAUGAUCUCGGCAUUACUUUACACCAUGCCAAUAACUCUCAGUCCAAUGGGAUAGUAGAGAGAUUCCAUUCAACAAUCAUUGAGCUCUAUAGAACCCUUACACCUAAAUUCCCAAGAAAACCAAUUGUCGAGAUGUUGAACUUACUGACUGACAUUUAUAAUAAUACAAUACACACUGCAACAAAACGAAAACCCAGAGAAAUCAUAUUUAACUAUUCAAACUCGCCGAAUGUACAAGAACUGCAGGAUGCAGCUGACAACUUGCAAUCAGCAGUUAAGGUACAACUUGCUAAAAACAGACAAAAGUACAUUGACAAAAACAAAGACAAACGACAACCACAUGACGUACGACCCAACGAUAAAAUAUGGGUGAAAAACACCCAAAGACUGACCAAAGACAAAGACCCAUAUAAAUCCGUCGAAGUUAAAUCAAAUAACGAACUUACAUUCGAAGAUACUAACAAUGUAAAAAUCCACAAGAACAGAAUAAAAAAGUAAUUAAAACGAUUUCUUUUUUCUUUAAUUCACAGUUUUCUACUAAUCAAUAAUAGCUUGGCAACAAUCUACAGAGACGUGAAUAAUGAGAACGGGUUGAUAGCUUUCAAAAUUGAUACAGUCAGGAUUAAACUAGGUUAUGAAAGAAUUGUUAAAAAGAUUAGUUUAGAAUCAAUAGAGAUAAACCUCAAUCACAUAGAAAAAAUAGCAUUGUCUUUCAAAACCAGGGACCACCUACAUGAAACAUUGUUAAGUAAAAUAGAUAAAGCUAGGGAAAAAUUAAAAGGCCUUCAGCCUCACAGACAAAGACGCGGCUUGAUAAACGCAUUAGGAACAGUAGUUAAAUAUAUAGCAGGAAACCCAGAUCAUGAAGAUUUACAAAUUAUACAUCAAAGUUUAGGAACCCUAGAAAACCAUGAAAAUAAACUCACUAUAAAUCAAAGAAAGCAAAUUAAAAUCAAUACAGACUUUCAGAACAGGAUCAAUAAUAUAACAGACACCAUCAGGAAGAUUAGCUCUCAAAUAUCAUUAAUUAACAAUACAUUAAGAGAAGAUACCACUUUGGAACAGAUAAAUCUUAUAUUUAGCACAGAUUUACUUAUUCACGCUCUGGAAGAUUUAGAAGAACAGGUAGAAUUUUCUAAACAAGACCUUUUAAAUAAAAACAUACUUUCUUUCGAGGACAAAAGAUAUAUUUUCAAUAGAUUGGUAGAACAAAACUUGGUUUUAACAACAAUAGACGAAAUCUUUCAGUAUAGCGCAGGGAGCUUAACAAUCAGCAAAAACCAUAUCGUCAUACUGGUGAAGAUCCCAAUACUGGAAGUCAACCCCUACGACCUACUCAGAAUUCAACCCGUCAGCAUCAACCAAACAACAAUCGACACGGAUAUACAACUGGUAGCCAAACGACAAAAUCGCGUGAUCCCACAACAGAAGAUAUGCAAAAUCUGCGAAGAAACUAUGCCAUUAGAGGACGAGUGCAUUUACAGGAUCCUAACACAUCAAAAGCCAAAAUGCGUUAUGAAGAAGACAGAACGAAAAACCUGGAUAAAGGAGAUCAUGAGAGGUAUAAUAUUGGUAGAUACACACACCAACUUACAGGUUUCCAGCUCUUGCGGCAACUCCAGAAUAGUAGCAGAACCCAUUAUCAUAGAAACGGGUAACUGCACCAUAAACAUCCUCAACUACACAUUUCACAGAGAGGAACACUUUGAGCCCAAAGAGGAAUACAUUGUACCAACGUACAAUAGGAAACCCGAAACAGUCAACAACCCGUAUGACCAAAUGGAUACCAUUA
rnacentral:lncRNA from 1 species